rnacentral:lncRNA from 1 species
CGACUGUUUUCAUAUUUCUAACAAUAUUUAAUUAUAUGUGAUAAGGUUAUAUUUUUGCCAGGCUUUAAUGAAAACCAAAGAAAUCUAAAGUUUGGGGUGAAAUCCAUAGCACCCCAAUAAAAGUAAAUGGUCUGUACUGAAAUGUUUUUAAUGCAUAAAAAAAAAUUGGCAGAAUAGCUCCUAAGGACAUGUUUUAAUUGAAUUCACACAGGCCACACAGUUUGGGUAUAUUUAAUAUUGUAAGAAAGAGAAUAAUUGCAAUGAGUGGGCAGCCCCCUUUAUCCUAAAGGAGCAUACUCAUUGC